AGAACCCAACAUAAGGUGCCCCAUUGACCCCAAAACCCAACAGAUGGGAUCCCAAUGACCCCAAAACCCAACAUAAGGUGCCCCAUUGACCCCAAAACCCAACAUAAGGUGCCCCAUUGACCCCAAAACCCAACCUGUGAUGCCCCAUUGACCCCAAAACCCAACAUAGGGUGCCCCACUGACCCCAAAACCCAACAGAACCCCCCCAAAACCCAACAUAAGGUGCCCCAAUGACCCCAAAACCCAACAGAUGGUACCCCAUUGACCCCAAAAGCCAACGUGUGAUGCCCCACUGACCCCAAAGCUCAACAGAUGGGAUCCCAAUGACCCCAAAACCCAACAGAACCCAACCUGUGAUGCCCCAUUGACCCCAAAAUCCAAUAGAAAGGAUCCCACCAACCCCAAAACCCAACAGAAGGGAUCCCAAUGACCCCAAAAGCCAACGUGUGAUGACCCACUGACCCCAGAAACCACCAUAAGGUGCCCCAUUGACCCCAAAACCCAACAGAUGGGAUCAUAACGACCCCAAAACCCAACCUGUGAUGCCCCACUGACCCCAAAACCCAACUGAAGGGAUCCCAUUGACCCCAAAACCCAACAUAAGGUGCCCCAUUGACCCCAAAACCCAACGAGUGGUGCCCCACUGACCCCAAAACCCAACAGAAGGGAUCCCAAUGACCCCAAAACCCAACAUAAGGUGCCCCACUGACCCCAAAACCCAACAGAUGGGAUCCCAAUGACCCCAAAACCAAACAGAACCCAACAUAAGGUGCCCCAUUGACCCCAAAACCCAACCUGUGAUGCCCCAAUGACCCCAAAACCCAACAGAAAGGAUCCCAUUGACCCCAAAACCCAACCUGUGAUGCCCCAUUGACCCCAAAACCCAACAGAUGGGAUCAUAACGACCCCAAAACCCAACGUGUGAUGCCCCACUGGCCCCAGAACCCAACAUAAGGCGCCCCAUUGACCCCAUUGACCCCAUUGACCCCAAAACCCAACAUAAGGCGCCCCAUUGACCCCAUUGACCCCAAAUCCCAACAUAAGGUGCCCCAUUGACCCCAUUGACCCCAAAUCCCAACAUAAGGUGCCCCACUGACCCCAUUGACCCCAAAUCCCAACAUAAGAUGCCCCACUGACC